GUCCGUGUAUGGUUGUUGUGUGGGAUGCAGCGAGGAAGCAAUGAGGACGCAGAAUGCCCUUGAAGUUUUCCGUUAAGGUGGCACUAAUUGCAGUGGGUCUCACGCUGUUCAUUGUUGAUUUAAUUCUUAUCAAGAGCUUGUCCAUUGCUCAGCACCUUUUGGAAAAAUCAGUUAAAACUGAAAACUCCAUUAACUCCAAGAGAGCGCACCAGCUCCGGUCUCCAUCCGCAAACUCCGAGAUCCGCCCGAUUAUUAUUCUGUCCACCUUCAGGUCUGGCUCCACACUGACUGGAGACAUACUUCAGCAGGCCCAGGACUCGUUCUACCUGUACGAGCCUCUGAACCCCCUCAACUACUUGAUGUACGGUGUGAAAAACGCCACUAGACUACAGUUGGUAAACGGUUCGACACGAUCCGUGGGGGCUUACGACUUCAAUAAAAUGUCCGUCAACAUCCUGACAUCUCUGAUCACGUGUGACUUCUGGAGCCUCGAUAUCGACACAGCGUCCCAUGGAUUUCUCUUCUACAGUCGCAGAAGCAUACCUUACAUUACCUGUGUUAACUUAACCAAACGCAGGACCACGCUUCUGGAUGCCGUUAGAAAAUGUAUGCCUAUUUGGAAGGAAAAUUGUGAAAAUUCUACGUUCAGAAUUUUCAAAGUUGUGCGUUUGUCAAUGGAUUGGAUGGAAAUAUUGCUCAAGAAAUUUCCCCGAUUAAUGGUGGUCCAUUUAGUCAGAGAUCCACGAGCUAUUCAAGUAUCCAGAGAUAAACUCGGUGAUAACAUGUUUGAAAACCUACGCCAUGGUUUCACAAAAUUGUGUAAUCGCUUGGCAUGGAAUCUCUACUUUGAAACCAGACUCAAUAAAACAUAUGGCAGAAUUUUCCGAUUAUAUUACGAAACGUUGGCGCUUCAUCCUUUCAAGACGUCAAAAUGGCUGUAUAACUCGUUAGGACUUACUUAUACGUCAGAAGUCAAUGCGCAUGUGCAUCAUUUAACUAGAGCAGGGGUACCAGAUGAUUGUCCCACUUGUGCAGUAAGAGCUAAUUCUUCUGCGCAUGUGCAUUCUUGGAAAAAAUAUUUAAUAGAACUCAUUUAGACGAGAUUAAAGAGGUGUGUGGCUCUUAUAUGAAGGAUCUCGGUUACACGUGAAAAACGUUUUUAUUUGAGGAUUAUCCAUGCACAUUGUUUUAUCGAUAAAUGUCGAAUUGGAUUGCACUAUAUGAUUAUAAGUAGCCCCCAAAAAGUUAGUAAUUUUUUUUGUUAUACUUUCAUGUUAAAUACUGAAAUCUGAUUGGUUUAGACGCAGUUCAUAAUCUGUUCUAUUACCCUCAGCGUUAGCAACGCACUUAGCAACAGGUAACAUUACGAAUUGUUACAUGCGCGAAAAUCAUGCGCGUACGGUUCGCCUUAGAAUUCACGUUAUUCCUAUCUAAAAGCAGUGAUGUUUUCUUUAAAAUUAAGACAUUCAGUAUAACAAAAUAAAUUGUGCCUGGUUGGGAGGAUAACAGUUGAAAUUGAUAUUCCUCGAAAACCAUUGUUAACCUCCGCUUCGCGUCGGUUGACAAUGGUUUUCUCGGGGUGUCAAUUUCAACUGUUACUCUCCCAAACAGGCACUAUUUAUAUAAUGUAUUGGUAAUACACGACGCAAAGGUUGUAUUUUGUCAUCAAUUUCUACAUACAUUCAAGGUCGCCUGUAAAAUCAAAUUUUGCUGUAAAACAACAUCUUGCUGUGGUUUUACAUUGAUUUUAUAUUUAUUGGCAAAAAUGUUGCUAGCGAACUAGAAGUUGAUUAUCAUGUUUUCAAGGAUGUGUAUGGUAAGUUAAUUAUUUCGUGGCAGCUAUAAAUAAUAAAGGACUGAAUUCGUAUCAUUUUCUGGGUAGAGUGGUUUGUUCGUGGUUUCGACCAUUGAGCUUUGUUCAUAGUUGUAAUAAGUUGUUAAGACGCAGUUGUUAAUCCGCUCUAUUACCCUCAGCAUAGCAACACACUUGGCAACGGGUAACACAACGAAUUGUUACAUGUGCGUAAACGAUGCGCGUACAGUUCACCGUAUAAUUAAAGUCAUUCCUAUAGAAAAGCAGUUAAGUUUUCUUUAAAAUUAUAAAAUUCAGUAUAAUGAAAUAAAUAGUGCCUGUUUGGGAGGAUAACAGUUGAAAUCGACGCCCCUCGAAAACCAUUGUCAACCUCCGCUGCGCGUCGGUUGACAAUGGUUUUCUCGGGGUGUCGAUUGCAAAUGUUACCCUCCCAAACAGGCACUAUUUAUAUAAUGUUUUGAGUGACCUUGCAAUGUAUGAUACACCGACAAUUUAAAACAUAUAUAAUUUGUGUAAUGAUAUUAAAAUCUUUUAUAAAAGU
rnacentral:misc_RNA from 1 species